rnacentral:siRNA from 1 species
GGCACCACUCCAUUCAUCCUCC